UUUACCUACGGGGCGCAGCAGUGGGGAAUAUUGCACAAUGGGGGAAACCCUGAUGCAGCGACGCCGCGUGAGUGAAGAAGUAUUUCGGUACGUAAAGCUCUAUCAGCAGGGAAGAAAAAAAGUCCUUUGGACUUUGGACGGUACCUGACCAAGAAGCCCCGGCUAACUACGUGCCAGCAGCCGCGGUAAUACGGAGGAUGCGAGUGUUAUCCGGAUUUAUUGGGUUUAAAGGGUGCGUAGGCGGAAUGCCAAGUCAGCGGUAAAAUCGCGGGGCUCAACCUCGCUCCGCCGUUGAAACUGGCGUU
rnacentral:rRNA from 1 species